GCUAAAAUAGCAAAGUGGUUAAUGCAAGAAAUCUAAGAUUUCUUUAUCAAGGGUUCGAAUCCUUUUUUUAGUU
rnacentral:tRNA from 1 species